AUAUCAGUCAUGCAUAGCAUAUCAAUAAGCGGAGGAAAAGAAACUAACAAGGAUUCCCUUAGUAACGGCGAGUGAAGCGGGAAGAGCUCAAAUUUGAAAUCUUCAAGGUUUUACCUUGACGAAUUGUAGUUUAAAGAAGUGUUUUCUGUUGAAGUUUUGGUAAAAGUUCUUUGGAAUAGGACAUCAUAGAGGGUGAGAAUCCCGUAUUUGACCAUUACUUUCAGCUUAGUAUGUGAUACACUUUCAAAGAGUCGGAUUGUUUGGGAAUGCAGUCCAAAAUGGGUGGUAAAUUUCAUCUAAAGCUAAAUAUUGGCGAGAGACCGAUAGCGAACAAGUACCGUGAGGGAAAGAUGAAAAGAACUUUGAAAAGAGAGUUAAACAGUACGUGAAAUUGUCAAAAGGGAAGCGUUUGACACCAGUGUUGUUUUCUCGAAAAUCAAUUAAAAAGAGUUGGAUUUUGUGUUGUAUUGACUUUAUCAGGCUUUCUUCACUCUUUUCCAGCUUUUUUUAAUGCACUUUUCGUUUAACAAGUCAACAUCAGUUUCUUUUGUUGUAAAAAGGUCAUUGGAAGGAUGGCUUUCUCUUCGGAGAAAGUGUCUAUAGCCUUUGACUCAUGCAAUCGGAGAGACUGAGGUCUGCAGCGUAGAUCCUUCGGGGUUAGAUACAUUUGUGCUAAGUUAUAGCUUUUCAUAGACAACUUGUUGACUAUGUUUAGUCUUGUAGCUUACUCGCUUAUGCUAUUUUACCUACGCUUAGGAUGUUGAACUCUAUCACACACAG
rnacentral:rRNA from 1 species